CCCUUGAUGCUGACUUCUGGAAUCUGAUUGAUUUAUCCAAAACAUGGCAUAUGCUGUAUGAAAACCUGUCUGUCUGGCACCUGGUGCUUAAGAGCUGAUUGAUGAUACUAUGUUGGAAAUUGGAAAGGACUUGUUAUUUUUAUUUUUUUCCCCACAAAGAAAUUUGAUUUGGUUUUGGGGUUUUAUUAGGCUGGGGCUGCUUAACACUCUAAAGGUAACAUAAUAUACUUUUUUUAGUUUUUUACUUAAUGUGUUUCUAUCCUUCUGCAGGAACUAGAAGAUCAUACUCAUGAAGUAAAUGUGCAACAUGAGGUGCUCGAUGGGAUGUUCAGAAUAUAUGACUCAACUAAAGCUAAACUAAACAUAUACCAGGUUGCUAGUGUAACAUUCGACUUGCUGUUGCUUCUGGUGCUAGGAUCAUAUUUGAUUAUACUUUUCACUUUUCUUGUCAUCACAACAAGGGGUCUUGAUGAUCUCAUAAGUUUAUUCCGACGGCCUCCCUCUCGGAAGGUGAAAGCGGCAUGAUGAAUGACGAUAUUCUCUUAGGUGAAAGCAGCAUGACAAAAGAAGCUGGAUAUGUGCACCGAAGCUGUUUAUCCUUGUUGCUGAAGAGCAUCACAUGUAGCAUAGAAUGUAACCUUUGCCAUGGAGGAGUUUGUGUUGUUUACUAGUUGUGCGUUGUCUGAUUAGGUCAGAAUCACGAGGGAUCAGUUUAAUUUUGGUCCUAGGCGGAUUUUUUUAAAAAACAAUUAUGGUGCUGGAAUGAGUUGAGAUUUGUUAACAUAGUUUGAAGAAAAGUUUUGGUGAAGGAUAUUUUAAACCAUAGACUAUAGCCAGCAUUUUUUUUGUAGAGGAUAAUCUGUAUUUGUGGCAUCAGCACCAUGAUUUCGUUAUUUAAAUUUCCUAUAAAGUUUUGGAGCAGUUUCCUACGGUAA